rnacentral:rRNA from 1 species
AGCGAACGCUGGCGGCAGGCCUAACACAUGCAAGUCGAGCGGCCGUAGCAAUACGGCAGCGGCAGACGGGAGAGUAACACGUGGGAACGCGCCCUUCGGUUCGGGAUAACUCAGGGAAACUUGGGCUAAUACCGGAUACGCCCUUACGGGGAAAGAUUUAUUGCCGAAGGAACGGCCCGCGUCCGAUUAGCUUGUUGGUGAGGUAACGGCUCACCAAGGCGACGAUCGGUAGCUGGUCUGAGAGGAUGACCAGCCUCACUGGGACUGAGACACGGCCCAGACUCCUACGGGAGGCAGCAGUGGGGAAUAUUGGACAAUGGGCGCAAGCCUGAUCCAGCCAUGCCGCGUGGGUGAUGAAGGCCCUAGGGUUGUAAAGCCCUUUCGGCGGGGAAGAUAAUGACGGUACCCGUAGAAGAAGCCCCGGCUAACUUCGUGC